CAUUUAGCGUCACUAUGAAAAAGCACCUUGAUUAAAAUGAAUGAAAAUUACUAGUUAACAUUACAGAUUGCAUAGAACAUCGAUUGUGAGAUUUUUACAUUGUCAGCAGAAUUGACAUCUGGAGAUAUAGAGAUAUAUGGCGCUUUUUGCUUCAACCUCGAAACAGCAAACCGAUGAAAUAUCACAAUAUAUUACAAAAUUGGAAAAUGGUCAUCUGUACACCGUGGGAACUCCGGAAGGACAAAUUGGACAUCAGUUGAUUCGUCUAGAUGUAGAUCGUAAACAGCAAAUGGUGAAUCGGCUUUUGGAUUGUGUAGCCGACAAUUUGAAGAAAGUACCAUCAGUAAUGAAAGAAAGAAAAAACGUUUAUUAAAAAAUAUAGGAGAGAGGAAAAGACGUUCUGCAUAUGAUAUUCACACGUUAUAUUUUUACACAUAUUUUAUUUACUUACACAUAUCCUAUUUUAUCACAUAUUAUAUCACUAUCUCACUUUUACUUGCAAUUGUUCCUUGAACUGAGAGAGCGAAACACAUAUCCUCAGCGGGACAUGAUAAAAGAGACGCACUGCACGAUUAUCUCAUUAGUUUGGUUUAAUCGUUUGUGGCGAUAUCUCGACGUUCAUCGUUAUGGUGCCAACAUCCGUUGGUUUGCAAGGAUUUGUCGUGAAUAAGCGAUUUAUUGUCAAAGAGGUAGCAGUUUUAAAGAAUGGGAGCGAGUUGACACACUAUAUUUUUAUAUGCCCGAUGCCAUAGCGUUUUCUGACGAAAGCUGAUCAAUCGCACACCUCAUGAUUGAUGACACAUCAUUAAGGAUUGCGGUGGAAUGAUGGGAUGAUACCAUAUCGUACGGCGCAGCGUCUGAUUUCAGAAGUUGUUCAGUGGAGAAAGUGAGGCAAUUGUUUAUGUGAAGGGACUUGAAAAACGGGGGUGGUUACUGGACAUUUUGAACAAUGACGACGUUAUAGUUGAAACGAUCAAUGUGCAUUACGACGAGAUUGAAUCGCUUGAAAAUUUAGACGCUACUAAUACGUUUCAGUGUGGAAGACACAGUAAAUGUUGCACGUUACAGAAUGUAUUAAAAUUAUUUAAUCAGUG